AGUGAACGCUGGCGGUAGGCCUAACACAUGCAAGUCGAACGGCAGCACAGAGGAGCUUGCUCCUUGGGUGGCGAGCGGCGGACGGGUGAGGAAUACAUCGGAAUCUACUCUGUCGUGGGGGAUAACGUAGGGAAACUUACGCUAAUACCGCAUACGACCUACGGGUGAAAGCAGGGGAUCUUCGGACCUUGCGCGAUUGAAUGAGCCGAUGUCGGAUUAGCUAGUUGGCGGGGUAAAGGCCCACCAAGGCGACGAUCCGUAGCUGGUCUGAGAGGAUGAUCAGCCACACUGGAACUGAGACAAGGUCCAGACUCCUACGGGAGGCAGCAGUGGGGAAUAUUGGACAAUGGGCGCAAGCCUGAUCCAGCCAUACCGCGUGGGUGAAGAAGGCCUUCGGGUUGUAAAGCCCUUUUGUUGGGAAAGAAAUCCAUCUGGUUAAUACCCGGGUGGGAUGACGGUACCCAAAGAAUAAGCACCGGCUAACUUCGUGCCAGCAGCCGCCGCCG
rnacentral:rRNA from 1 species